AUGAGGACUGCCCUCAAGGACUCUGCCUCCAUUUCCAGAUCAGGCAUUGCAUCUGAUGAUAUUCUCAAUAAGCCAAGUAAUAUCAAAACCAGUGAUACAGGUGACCUAUUGCCCAAGGGGCCAGCGUGUGUUCAGAGAUACUGUGGCACCAGAACACCCUACAGGAGUAGGCACCCUCACAAGCAACUACAUCCUCCUUAGGUGGGUUUUCCUUUGUGAUACAUUCAAAUUGACCUGUUAUUAGAUAAUAGAUGUGUACUAUUUCCCCCAUUAUUCAAAUGUCCUUAGCAAUAAAUAAUCUAAAACAUGGAGUCCUUUGUUUGUUUCUUUGUGUUUUGCAGUAAGAAAAAAAAGCCUUCCAUCAAACAGAGGAUAUCUGAUUUGAAAUGAUGUGUCUCUUAUCCCUCUAUCUUGGAUCCACAGGUUUGAGGAACAAAACAGUAAAGAGACUUUCUAAUAACACAUAUUUGACAACUUACUUCAAGUCACAGUUUGUGAUAGCAGUCUCCUUUCCUUCUGCAUUCUGAGUUAUGCCUGAGGUCUGACGGUCACAAAGAAAAAUAAUAUUUAGCUCUGGGUAAGCCAUGAUAAGGCCAACUUAAAGGAAAUUUAUAUCAUGAAGGAACCAAGAUUGUUUUAGGGAGGAAGUAAAAUUUUAAACUGAACACAGGAAAAGUGUAUGUCAGGAUUUACUUUGCAAAAGUAUUUGUUAAUUUUUUAAUAGACACAGUAACAUAACUGCAGUGUACCUCAAUAAUUAAAGUCAGUGUUCAGUAAGAAGAAAAAACUUUCUACAAGGUCAAAUAUAUGUACCAAAUCUUUAAAACUCUAUUUGACAAAAAUAAAAAUAAUGGAAUUGACUGCACAUUGGGCUAAUUUUAGUAUGUGUGAUAUCUGGGUAGCUGCUGGACAAUGACAUGAGGUCCUCUUGGAUAAUGGUUAAGGGCAAAUACUCUGGAGUUAGAUGGCCUGAGUUCACAUCCAGAUUCUAGCACCAACUAAGUGAGUGACUUUGGGCUUAUUAUUUAAUCUCUGUAAGCAUAAAUUUCUUUUCAUUGAUCACUGAGGAAGGCUUUCUUGUCUCUCCUUGCUUUUCUUUGAAACUCUGCAGUCAAAUGGGUACAUCUUUCCUUUUCUCCUUUGCCUUUAGCUUCUCUUCUU
rnacentral:lncRNA from 1 species